UUUCUCCUCCCCUUCCCCGAGGCUGCACGAAUCACGCACCUGCCCCGGACACCCCCGGCUCCGGGACCGUCCGCCCCCGCUCCGCCUCCCCGGCCUGCGACACCUGGCAGCGGGGCGGGAGGAGAAGGAAAACGAAAUGCGAAAAAGAGCCUCGGGAAACAGGAAAAGUUCGACGCACGACGCCGGGAGUGGAGGCUGCCUCCUCAGAGAAACGUCCCGCUGGGAGGUCCUUCCCAGGGGCUACCCGCAGGAUCAUCUCUUUCAGGCAAUGCUGCAUGUGACAAAACAGAAAAAGAAACCUCCCAGCAGAUCCAGUGACAUUAACUGGGGCUCUUAGAAGCAAUUAAUUGGAUUCAGCCUUUGGAAGCUACACAGGUUGUUGCUCCUUCAUCCAUCCAACCCAACAGCUCAAAAAUAUGUGCCAAGGUAAGACAGAAACCAUUACUGGCCAGAUCCCUGAAAGGGAUUCACCAAGGGCUGCUUCUGCUUCACUACUGCAGUUUAAAUGAGCCAGUUGGCAAGACUUGUUAUUUAAGUGCUUCAAUCUGCUUUGGACUGGAAGGAGUCACCAACCCUCCAGGGCUCAGCAGGGACUCUAUGGUAGGCCUUUUGGCUGAAAGUAUCUAAAAUCCGUUUAAGACUUUUCUUUGUGCUUAAAACCUUUCUUGGCCCUCGCCCUAAGUAACACAUAAGCUUCAAUUCAAGCCCAUCCUAGGGCCAGGAUUCAGGUUUCAUAGGACAAAAGGUGCAUUCAGUCCAACUGACGAGAAUCCCAAGAGUCAACUCUGGGGUCAGAGGGUUCUGCCGUAUUGCCUACAGGUAUGUGUAUGCAGGGUUUUGAUCAUACUGAAGUACAAGGGCUUUGCCAGCAUGAAUACUCAUUGCCAGAUUCUGUUAAAAAAAAAAAAAAAAAAAAAAAAAAAGUGGUGGGUUUUGCUUUUGUUUUGAUUCGGCAGCAGUCAGUCCUUCCUGCUUGUUAGCAUUUGACCCAGAGGGUAGAACGUGACUUAGAUGUAACUUUUCAUCAUUGUCAAGAAAUCACAUUAUAGGUCAUGAUAUUUAUCUCAGAAGCAAGAUAUGUGUAAUUUUUGCCUUGGUGCCCUGGCUUUGCUAAAACUCGAGUAAUCGUGCUCUUUGUAACUGAAUCUCCUUUGCCAGGUGGAUGUGAGCAGCUUAGAAGCCACAGCAGAGAGAAGCCAGGACUAAACGUAUCUCCUGGGGUGCAGUAAGGCAUGAGACUCAUCUGAAAGCCCUUACUGCCAGUGCUAUAUUUUUUGCUUACAUCUCAUCACAGGCUGCCUCAUGCUACUGCUUUUACCCCUAUCUGCAGACCCCAAUAACAUUGUUCCAUUUUGCCCUACCACUCUUCUUACCAAAUGUCCAUACACAGCUUGGUGAUUAGGCCACUAUCAGCAUCAGUUUAGCAGUGCACGAGUGUAUUUCCUCUCAUUACCCCUCCUCCUGCCCACCUAUCUUCACCAUUUACCAGUUCCUCCUUUUCCAGUCCUUUUCUGGCGAUGCAGAGUGAAGCAAGGGACAGCUUGACUGACUCUUCCUGGAGUCCACCACAGUAGACCAAGUGGCUGGGUGGGGACACGCAGCACAAACUCACUUCAUGCUUGAGGAAACACAGCUAAAAAUUGAGAGAAAUCUUGAUCAUCUCUCCCACUCCGUGAGCUGUGUUCUGAAGAUGAUAUAUUUAACUUGUUAAAAAAAAA